GAGAGAGAGAGACAGACCGACGAACCGUGAGGAUGUACGUUGAGAGGUUGGCGUGACCGUCCAUCACAGCCCUGUGAACACCACCAACCACCACAAGCACGGCGAAAGGCGAGGCAAGGCACAACAGAGCACAGCAAGACAAGGCGGAGCAAAACACAGCAAGACGAGGCGAAACAAAGCAGGGCAGAAGCAGCCUCUUCAACCACGCCUCAGCUCAUAACCACCUCCACGGCCUCUACGACCACGCCUCAGCUCUUAAACAACACAACCCCGGCCUCGUCAACAACGCUGCUAGUUACCGGCCCCGGCAGUCUACACCCGCCGGCGCCUCACUCGCCCCAGUGUCUUCCUCCAUCCUGCACCAGUUAUCACAUCAAGUCACCAAGACGGUUGUAGACUGGAUGGUCACCGGACGUAUAACCUCACAAGUAGGUUCUGCUCUUAGGGCCGCUUUAACAGUCACGUUUGUUUGUGUUGAUCGUUGCCAAUGAGCGUCGAUCGCCGCUACCAACAAGAAAUCCGCUUUCACAGUCUUUCGCGGCGUUCCGGGCGUUGUUUGUUUGCAUCAGUACCAUAUCGAGAUUGGACCCUCUGGUAACGGAGCUCUGGUAGCCGCGGGGACUCCCCAAUGAAGCUUACCAAUGACAAUGAUUAGUAAAUAUAAUACAUUCCUGCCCUCAAGUGGUUAUAUUAUUUCUUUAAAUGGAUGUUAAAAAAUAUUACACAAUACAGCAACACGUUGCAGGGCUUCAAUGGUAAUAUGAGAAAAAAAUUAGAAGACUUUGAAUGACAUGAACACACUUCACCUGCUGACCAGUAAACGUCCUGCUGAGAAUUUCAAUUUGAUUGAUUGAUUGAUUGUUUAUUGUUGCAAAAUACACAAUAAAGGAGAAGGGAGGAGUUUAAUAGCCUACUUGUCACCAUUAUUCACCUGUUAUGCCUUUAUGGUCAAACUUUCGUAUUAUUUUAGAUAGCCUCAUAUGUAUGCAUGGGGCAUACAUAUAACGAAAUCAGCCCUGUUAUGUAAAAAAUAAAUCUGAAGUCUGCUAAAUAAGUGUGAAUAAUGAACAAAUUUAAUGAAUAUAUAUAGAUGAA